GCCUAACUAGUGUAACGGUAGCGCACUCGACCUGUAUUUGAGAGAUCCAGGUUCUAGUCCUGGCGAAAGCA
rnacentral:tRNA from 1 species